GAUGAACGCUGGCGGCGUGCCUAAUACAUGCAAGUCGAGCGAACGGACGAGAAGCUUGCUUCUCUGAUGUUAGCGGCGGACGGGUGAGUAACACGUGGAUAACCUACCUAUAAGACUGGGAUAACUUCGGGAAACCGGAGCUAAUACCGGAUGAUAUUUUGAACCGCAUGGUUCAAAAGUGAAAGACGGUCUUGCUGUCACUUAUAGAUGGAUCCGCGCUGCAUUAGCUAGUUGGUAAGGUAACGGCUUACCAAGGCAACGAUGCAUAGCCGACCUGAGAGGGUGAUCGGCCACACUGGAACUGAGACACGGUCCAGACUCCUACGGGAGGCAGCAGUAGGGAAUCUUCCGCAAUGGGCGAAAGCCUGACGGAGCAGCGCCGCGUGAGUGAUGAAGGUCUUCGGAUCGUAAAACUCUGUUAUUAGGGAAGAACAUAUGUGUAAGUAACUGUGCACAUCUUGACGGUACCUAAUCAGAAAGCCACGGCUAACUACGU
rnacentral:rRNA from 1 species